rnacentral:rRNA from 1 species
GUGGGGAAUCUUGCGCAAUGGGCGAAAGCCUGACGCAGCAACGCCGCGUGGGGGAUGAAGGCUCUCGGGUUGUAAACCCCUUUCAGCAGGGACGAAUCAAGACGGUACCUGCAGAAGAAGCCCCGGCUAACUACGUGCCAGCAGCCGCGGUAACACGUAGGGGGCAAGCGUUGUCCGGAUUUAUUGGGCGUAAAGAGCUCGUAGGUGGCUGAGUAAGUCGGAUGUUAAAUCCCCAGGCUCAACCUGGGACACCACCCGAUACUGCUCUGGCUAGAGUCCGGUAGGGGAGCGUGGAAUUCCUGGUGUAGCGGUGAAAUGCGCAGAUAUCAGGAGGAACACCAGCGGCGAAGGCGGCGCUCUGGGCCGGUACUGACACUGAGGAGCGAAAGCGUGGGUAGCAAACAGGAUUAGAUACCCGAGUAGUCC